GACGAACGCUGGCGGCGUGCUUAACACAUGCAAGUCGAACGGAAAGGCCCUGCUUUUGUGGGGUGCUCGAGUGGCGAACGGGUGAGUAACACGUGAGUAACCUGCCCUUGACUUUGUGAUAACUUCAGGAAACUGGGGCUAAUACCGGAUAGGAGCUCCUGCUGCAUGGUGGGGGUUGGAAAGUUUCGGCGGUUGGGGAUGGACUCGCGGCUUAUCAGCUUGUUGGUGGGGUAGUGGCUUACCAAGGCUUUGACGGGUAGCCGGCCUGAGAGGGUGACCGGCCACAUUGGGACUGAGAUACGGCACAGACUCCUACGGGAGGCAGCAGUGGGGAAUAUUGCACAAUGGGCGGAAGCCUGAUGCAGCAACGCCGAGUGCGGGAUGACGGCCUUUGGGUUGUGAACCGCUUUCGCCUGUGACGAAGCGUGAGUGACGGUAAUGGGUAAAGAAGCACCGGCUAACUACGUG
rnacentral:rRNA from 1 species